rnacentral:rRNA from 1 species
AAUUCGCCGUGUAUGCUUAACACAUGCAAGUCGAACGGUUUUCGGGUGGCAACACCCGGAAAUAGUGGCGAACGGGUGAGUAACACGUGGGUAAUCUCCCCCCGAGUGAGGAAUAAGCCUGCGAAAGCGGGUCUAAUACCGCAUAACACUCCGGGACACAAGUCUUCGGAGUCAAAGCCGCAAGGCGCUUGGGGAUGAGCCUGCGUCCUAUUAGCUUGUUGGUAGGGUAACGGCCUACCAAGGCCAUAAUGGGUAGCCGGCCUGAGAGGGUGUACGGCCACACUGGGACUGAGACACGGCCCAGACUCCUACGGGAGGCAGCAGUGAGGAAUUUUGCGCAAUGGGGGAAACCCUGACGCAGCGACGCCGCGUGGAGGAUGACGGCCUUCGGGUUGUAAACUCCUGUCAGAGGUGAAGAAGCCCCGCAAGGGGUUGACGGUAACCUCAGAGGAAGCCCCGGCUAACUACGUGCCAGCAGCCGCGGUAAUACGUAGGGGGCAAGCGUUGCUCGGAAUUACUGGGCGUAAAGGGUGUGUAGGCGGCUCGGUAUGUCAAAGAUGAAAGCCCGAAGCUCAACUUCGGAACGGUCUUUGAAACUGUCGAGCUUGAGGGUAGUUGAGGAGAGCGGAAUUCCCGGUGGAGCGGUGAAAUG